rnacentral:rRNA from 1 species
AUUGAACGCUGGCGGCAGGCCUAACACAUGCAAGUCGAGCGCGCGGCGGACGGGUGAGUAAUGUAUGGGGACUGCCCGAUAGAGGGGGAUAACUACUGGAAACGGUGGCUAAUACCGCAUACUAUCGGAUAACCCAUAUGGGAUUAGCUAGUAGGUGGGGUAAAGGCCCACCGAGGCGACGAUCUCUAGCUGGUCUGAGAGGAUGAUCAGUCACACUGGUACUGAGACACGGCCCCGACUCCUACGGAGGCAGCAGGGGGGAAUAUUGCACAAUGGGCGCAAGCCUGAUGCAGCCAUGCCGCGUGUAUGAAGAAGGCCUUAGGGUUGUAAAGUACUUUCAGCGGGGAGGCGUUACCCGCAGAAGAAGCCCCGGCUAACGCCGUGCCAGCAGCCGCGGUAAUAC